UCAGACAGGCAGCCGUCGCCGUCGGACUGCACGAUAACCAUGCCGUGCUCGCUGUCGACCCUGUCCUCCGCGCGGCCGCCGCGCCGGCUGAUCAUGCCCGUGCGCCCGACGCCGGCGUCUGGCUCCCGAAACCCGGACGGGGAGUCCGGGAAGAGGCCUUUCGUCACGGCCGUGCUGCUCCACGCCGGUGGCUCGCGGUCGCGGCCUCUACGGUUUCUGGCUCUGCUCCCCGGCCAUAUCCACUGCGAGAAUCGGCUCAGCGACAUGGCCGUUGUGGGGGAAAGAAAUCAAAGAAUGCUCGGGUCGUCUUGAUCCGGUUGAAAAUUGGGGGCGCAAAGCUGACAAAAUCAAAGAGAAUAGAGCAAA
rnacentral:misc_RNA from 1 species